UACAGAGGGUGCGAGCGUUGUCCGGAAUCACUGGGCGUAAAGGGCGCGUAGGCGGUCUCUUAAGCGUGUGGUGAAAGUCCAGGCUCAACCCUGGGAUGCCGGUGGAUACUGUCGGGCUCGAGUCCGGAAGAGGCGAGUGGAAUUCCUGGUGUAGCGGUGAAAUGCGCAGAUAUCAGGAGGAACACCAAUGGCGAAGGCAGCUCGCUGGGACGUGACUGACGCUGAGACGCGAAAGCGUGGGGAGCAAACAGG
rnacentral:rRNA from 1 species